GCUUUCGUGGUGUAGUGGUCAGCACGCCUGCGCAACCUAGAGGUCCGUGGUUCGAUUCCCGGUGAAGGCG
rnacentral:tRNA from 1 species